AACGAACGCUGGCGGCAUGCCUAACACAUGCAAGUCGAACGAGACCUUCGGGUCUAGUGGCGCACGGGGGCGUAACGCGUGGGAACCUGCCCUUAGGUUCGGAAUAACUCCCCGAAAGGGGUGCUAAUACCGGAUAAUGUCUUCGGACCAAAGAUUUAUCGCCUUUGGAUGGGCACGCGUUGGAUUAGCUAGUUGGUAGGGUAAAAGCCUACCAAGGCGACGAUCCAUAGCUGGGUUGAGAGGAUGCUCAGCCACACUGGGACUGAGACACGGCCCAGACUCCUACGCGAGGGAGCAGUGGGGAAUAGUGGACCAUGGGCGAAAGGCUGAUCCAGCAAUGCCGCGUGAGUGAUGAAGGCAUUAGGGUUGUAAAGCUCUUUUAACCGGGAUGAUAAUGACAGUACCGGGAGAAUAAGCUCCGGCUAACUCCGUG
rnacentral:rRNA from 1 species